UGGCUCUCGCAUCGAUGAAGAACGCAGCGAAAUGCGAUAAGUAAUGUGAAUUGCAGAAUCCAGUGAAUCAUCGAAUCUUUGAACGCACCUUGCGCUCCUUGGUAUUCCGAGGAGCAUGCCUGUUUGAGUGUCAUGGAAUCAUCAACUCUUAUUCUUUUUAAUCAAAGGAACGAGGGCUUGGACUUUGGAGGCUUGUGCUGGCCCUGUUGGGGUCGGCUCCUCUUGAACGCAUUAGCUUGAACCUUCUGCUGUAAUCGGCUGUUCGGUGUGAUGAUUGUCUACGCCGUGGCUGUGAGGCUUUAAACUUGUGGGCUCAGCUUCUAACUGUCCUUUUGAACAAGGACUACCCGCAAAGGGUACCGUUGACCUCUGACCUCAAAUCAGGUAGGAUUACCCGCUGA
rnacentral:misc_RNA from 1 species